rnacentral:lncRNA from 1 species
GGCUGGGAGAGAGGGGAAGAAGAGAGACGACAAUGAAGGAAUAAAAAGAAAAAAAAGAUCAACGCGCACGCGAAACAUAGGCAGGUCGACAGGGAAGGAGGUAGAGUGAAGAAAUUUAAGGAGAGAUCGAGAGCAGAGAUCGGAGAAACAUACGAGCGAAGAAGAUCUUAUCGAGCUAGGAGGAGAUAGAGCUUAGAGGUAAAUAAAUUAUGAUACUCAGAUGUUGCUAUGGUGAUAUAGAUUGGAUUUCUGUUCAGAUCAUCAAUGUGGAGGAGUUCGAAUCGGGAGGAGGUAGGGAGGUGAGGAAUGGUGAGUGAGCUGAGUGUAAGUGAGGGAGAAGAAAGGGAGUCAGCAGAGAUGAAAUUAGUUCGAGGUAUAGCAAGAUUUGGGGGAGAUUUGCUGGUGAGGUGCCAAUAUUAGUACCGAAGAAGAUGAAUACUGGGGUACUGAUAAUGGCCACGGUGAAGUGGGAGGUUGUGGCGCCGAUUCUGGUACUAGUACAUAGUGGCUUACUUGUAGUGCAUACGGUUGGGUGGCAUUUGGGUUGAGUAAUG